rnacentral:rRNA from 1 species
CAGUAGCCACGGUAAUACAGAGGGGGCUAGCGUUGCUCGGAAUCACUGGGCGUAAAGGGUGCGUAGGCGGGUCUUUAAGUCAGGGGUGAAAUCCUGGAGCUCAACUCCAGAACUGCCUUUGAUACUGAAGGUCUUGAGUUCGGGAGAGGUGAGUGGAACUGCGUGUGUAGAGGUGAAAUUCGUAGAUAUUCGCAAGAACACCAGUGGCGAAGGCGGCUCACUGGCCCGAUACUGACGCUGAGGCACGAAAGCGUGGGGAGCAAACAGGAUUAGAUACCCCGGUAGUCCCUGUCUCUUAUAC